AUGCUGGCACCCCAUAACCCUGCACCCCAUAACCCCGCACCCCAUAACCCUGCACCCAUCACUCCUCUGUCCCCACACACUGCACCCCCAAACCCCACACCCUUGCGCCGGGCACCCCCAGGCCCUGCACCCCCAAACAUUGCACCCUGCACCCCGAAAUCCUGCACCUUUUUGCAGGCUACCCCCAAACCCAGCACCCCCAAACACCCCUUCUUUCUCCACCCUCACACUCUGCACCCCAAAACCCUGCGCCCCCAGACCCGGCACCCCAAAACCCUGCGCCCUCCAUCCCCGAACCCUGCGCCUGUUUCCUCUCCAUCCUCACGCCGUGCGCCCCCAAACCCCGCACCCUCGUGCCCCGCACCCCCAAGCCCUGCACUGGGCACCCCAAACCCCGCACCCCGUUCCCCCAGCCCCGUGCCCCCGGUACCGGCACCCCGGACCCGCCGCCGCUCUCGGGCCGGCCGGGGCGGAGCCGCCGCCGCUUCCUCUUUCGGACGGGGCGGGCGGGACCGGGGGCGUUUAAAGGAGCCGCACCGGGACCCCCCCGCGCCCCCAAACCACCCCCUGCUGCCCCCCAGCUCCCCAACCCUCUGCCACCCCGAUUUGGGGCGAUGUCUGAGGGUGCAGCCCCGCGCUCUGCCCCCCACCCCAAAUUUGGGUGCCCACCACGUCGUAGGACACGCAGCCCCCUCUGCCUGGGUCUUUGGGGGCAGAGCUGGACCCCCCCUUUUUUUUCCAUCCCCUGGGGGCCACGCAGAGCGUCCCCACCCUGGGCACGUCCCAGCUCGGGGUGUGGGGCCCCGGGCGCACCCAGGUGCCACGAACCCAAAUGUCCCCGCAGGUGUCCCUAACAGGGGGGUGGCUGCCAGCACCCCCACACCACCCCGCUGCUCACCGAGAGGGGAGCACGGGCCGGGAGGGUCCCGCAGCGAGGUGGGGGCGCCUCAAUCACGGCACCGGUUUGGGGUGAAUCCGUGCCCCUUUUGGGGUUUGCGCUCCCCGGGAUCUGGGGAGCAUCGCCGUGGGGCUGAGCACGGCGCAGCGCAUGGGGCAGGGCUGCUGCCUUCCUGUUUACGAAGCGGGGUAAUUAAUUAG
rnacentral:lncRNA from 1 species